rnacentral:rRNA from 1 species
CGUCCUAACGUUGUUCGGAAUCACUGGGCUUAAAGGGCGCGUAGGCGGCUUGCCAAGUCAGGGGUGAAAUCCUGCAGCUUAACUGUAGAAGGGCCUUUGAUACUGACGAGCUCGAGGGAGGUAGGGGUAUGUGGAACUUCCGGUGGAGCGGUGAAAUGCGUUGAUAUCGGAAGGAACGCCGGUGGCGAAGGCGGUUCUCUGGGCAUGUCCUGACGCUGAGGAGCGAAAGUGUGGGGAGCGAACAGG